CAUACUCUUUAUUUCAUUUUAUUUUUUGCACGAAGUCAUUCUAACGUGUAAACCAUGACACGAUCUAUGAUCACAACCAUGCUAACCACAAUGGUCCUACAUGUAAAUAAUGGUUGUGAUCGUAAUUCACCAAAAGUGACCCUUACAAUAUAUCGCAUCACCACUCUCGUUAGAGAGUAUACCGUCAUCUAUAAGGAGCGGUCCUCGUACAUCUUUUCAUACCAGAUGAGGGAGAAACAAAAAUUGCUCAUAGAUAAAAAACCUAACGAAUCAUUU
rnacentral:lncRNA from 1 species